GCCGCAGGGGGAGCUGGCUGUUGUGUCUCUGCUCCCCCUCUCCUGCGCGCCGCUUAAUGAGACCGGGGCCGGAAUAUGACGUCAUAUUCCGGCUCCCAGCCUCACUGUGCGGCGCGCAGGGGAGGGGGAGCAGAGACACAACAGCCAGCUCC
rnacentral:pre_miRNA from 1 species